rnacentral:rRNA from 1 species
CCUACGGGGGGCUGCAGUGGGGAAUUUUGUGCAAUGCUCGUAAGAGUGACGCAGCGACGCCGCGUGAAUGACGAAGGCCUUCGGGUCGUAAAGUUCUUUCGACAGGGAAGAAAAUGCCUAUAAGUAACUGUGUAUGUAUUGACGGUACCUGUAUAAGCAGCCCCGGCUAACUCCGUGCCAGCAGCCGCGGUAAUACGGAGGGGGCGAGCGUUGUUCGGAGGGACUGGGCGUAAAGAGCACGUAGGCGGUGUUGUAAGUCAUUAGUCAAAGACUAGAGCUCAACUUUAGUAAGGCUAGUGAUACUAUAAUACUAGAGUAUCAGAGAGGAUUGCAGAAUUCCUGGUGUAGCGGUGAAAUGCGUAGAUAUCAGGAGGAAUACCGUUAGCGAAGGCGGCAAUCUGGCUGGAAACUGACGCUGAGGUGCGAAAGCGUGGGUAGCAAACAGGAUUAGAUACCCUUGUAGUC